rnacentral:sRNA from 1 species
GCUUGUCGAUCAUGCUGACGGUGCUCGGCUUCAAUCUGAUCGGGGACGGCCUGCGCGAUGU